CAGAUGGAAAGGAAGCCAGCUUAUACGAGCAGGAUCUGAGAUGCAGCACAAGGUGAUGGAGGAGGUGGCAACGUUCAAACAAAGAGAAUGUGAGGACUUAAAUAACAGCUGAGACACAAGAAAGAAGAGCUGAGUCUGUACAGGCUGAUUCCACAAGUUUGAUGGAAUAGUGGAACAAAAACUCUGUUGAAUGAAGAAAAUGUUUGAGAAAGCAUCGAGGGAGAAAGGAAGAGGGACAUGGUCCAUUUUGGACCAGGAAGUAGAGGAGAUCGGUGAGGAAAAAAUCAGGAAGUACUUAAAGACCCAGUGUUUGGUGUUUUUAACAUGUUUUGGUGGCAUUUUUCUAACGAUGGAGGACAUAUA